rnacentral:rRNA from 1 species
AGAGUUUGAUCAUGGCUCAGAAUCAACGCUGGCGGCGCGCCUAACACAUGCAAGUCGAGCGAGAAAGUGGAGCAAUCCAUGAGUACAGCGGCGUACGGGUGAGUAACACGUGGGUAAUCUACCUCUUAGUGGGGAAUAACCCUGGGAAACCGGGGCUAAUACCGCAUAAGCCUUAGCAGGGAAAGCAGCAAUGCGCUGAGAGAGGAGCCCGCGGCUGAUUAGCUAGUUGGUGAGGUAAAGGCCCACCAAGGCAUAGAUCGGUAGCCGGCCUGAGAGGGCACACGGCCACACUGGCACUGAAACACGGGCCAGACUCCUACGGGAGGCAGCAGUGGGGAAUCUUGCACAAUGGGGGAAACCCUGAUGCAGCGACGCCGCGUGAGCGAUGAAGCCCUUCGGGGUGUAAAGCUCUUUCGGCAGGGAAGAUGAUGACGGUACCUGCAGAAGCAGCUGCGGCUAACUACGUGCCAGCAGCCGCGGUAAUACGUAGGCAGCGAGCGUUGUUCGGAGUUACUGGGCGUAAAGGGUGUGUAGGCGGUUCUUUAAGUUUGGUGUGAAAUCUCCCGGCUCAACUGGGAGGGUGCGCCGAAUACUGAGGGACUAGAGUGCGGGAGAGGAAAGUGGAAUUCCUGGUGUAGCGGUGAAAUGCGUAGAUAUCAGGAGGAACACCGGUGGUGUAGACGGCUUUCUGGACCGUAACUGACGCUGAGACACGAAAGCGUGGGUAGCAAACAGGAUUAGAUACCCUAGUAGUCC